GAUGAACGCUGGCGGCGUGCCUAAUACAUGCAAGUCGAGCGAACAGACGAGGAGCUUGCUCCUCUGAUGUUAGCGGCGGACGGGUGAGUAACACGUGGAUAACCUACCUAUAAGACUGGGAUAACUUCGGGAAACCGGAGCUAAUACCGGAUAACAUGUUGAACCGCAUGGUUCAACAGUGAAAGACGGUCUUGCUGUCACUUAUAGAUGGAUCCGCGCCGCAUUAGCUAGUUGGUAAGGUAACGGCUUACCAAGGCAACGAUGCGUAGCCGACCUGAGAGGGUGAUCGGCCACACUGGAACUGAGACACGGUCCAGACUCCUACGGGAGGCAGCAGUAGGGAAUCUUCCGCAAAGGGCGAAAGCCUGACGGAGCAACGCCGCGUGAGUGAAGAAGGUCUUCGGAUCGUAAAACUCUGUUAUUAGGGAAGAACAAAUGUGUAAGUAGCUAUGCACGUCUUGACGGUACCUAAUCAGAAAGCCACGGCUAACUACGUG
rnacentral:rRNA from 1 species